AUGGGCCUAAUAGAGACUGACAAAUCUCUUGACGACUGCUUGACUGAGUCUGCUACUUUCCAGAUGCCAUAUGCUCUAAGAAGGUUUUUUGCAACUAUUCUUGUGUAUUGCGAGGCGACCAACAUCCGUGCAUUGUGGGAGAAGCAUUUGGAGUCAAUGUCUGAGGAUUAUCGUCGUACCCAGUCCAACCAGGCUGAACUGGAACAGAUGGUCCUUAGAGACAUCCGGGAUUUGGUUCAUUCGAUGGGCAAAGAUAUUAAAAGCUAUGACCUUCCGGAGCUGGUUGAGACCGGUGAUGGUUCCGGCGACGUCCUAAGGGAAGUUCAAGAGGAGUUGUUAGACGGUGCGGAUCAAAAGCAUCUGGAUCUAUAUACAUCCCUGAACAUUGAGCAGAGAGCUGGGUUUGAGGAAAUUUUGGAUCACAUGGUGAAAAACAGGAAACAUGUUUUCUUUAUUGAUGGUCCUGGUGGCACGGGGAAGACUUAUCUCUACAAGGCGCUUCUUGCUAAAGUGCGUUCAUUGGGGAAAAUAGCUAUUGCAACUGCGACAUCGGGAAUAGCCGCAUCAUCAACAUCCCUGAAUAUUGCAUGA
rnacentral:rRNA from 1 species